UUAACAUAAGUAUUCCGGUAGAUGGUGUGGCAAUCGUAUCAUGUUAUUCUGUCCUCGGUAGCUUUUUCCCCCCACUAUUACUCUCAAAUGAGAAUGUGAUGUCAUGUACUGAAAAUUUAGAGCCUUGUCUGGCAAAGCUGUGUAUUAUAUCUUCAACGCAAAACACAAACAUAAUCUCAUCUCGAUUGUCAUUUGAAACGGGAUUAAGUAACAGUGAAGACUUAUGGGUGCAAAUAAAGCUUCAAACUGAGACACAAUUAUCUGCAGACAUGUGUCCAAUAAACAAUUUGCAUAAUCCGCAAAUAACGAAAGACAAAAUAGUCCGUGAACGAUCCACAGAGUUGAACACGCGAGAUAUCUCGUCCAAGACGUCACACGGGGGACAUCGAUCGCCAGAUAUCUCAUCUACAGCAUCGCACGAGGGAAAUUGGGUCGCGAGAUAUCUCGCAAAGAGGUUAAUCGAUGUUUAUCCUUCCUCUAUGCGAGCUUUGAGCAAACGUAAUCGGUUUCGAAUUCGGAAGAAUUUCGUUCGUACGAUCAGAUUCUACAUAAAACAGUGGCAGAAUACAAGAGGAAAUUGAGAUACGUAUAAUAUUUAAUUAAUUACACUUAGAAUUUCGCAAAGUAUAUAGACAAGCGUGUACAUCAUAUUAUUGGUUUAACGUUAAGGACAUAUACCUCUAUGUUUACACGUAAUCACCGAAACCGAUCGAUACAUCCUAAUACAUUGCGUGGCUUAGGUAAAUAUACAACGAGAGUCAAAAGUCUAUAAGGAAAUCUACGGUAGAAUCCCUUCUGCAGCAAUCACACGUGGAUUAUCUCGUUAAUAGCAUUCGAACGAGGGGAAUGGGAAUUGAACAAAGAUUUCGACUUUAUCCCCCGUUUUCAUUACCGCACUGGCCAAAAAUACUAAUAAAAGAGAAGCCCCUGGGUACGAUAAUAUUACAACGGAGAUGUUAAAAAAGAAGGAGAGUUAAAAAAAACUCCAGGGGAAAAGUCUUUUGUUAUUCUACAUUUUUAAAACAUUUCCCCUUCUCUAAAAAAGCUAGCAGAAAUUUCUGGAAUUCGAGAGUUCCAAAUAGAUAAUUUAUUAUAGAUUAUAUAUUUAUAAUCUGAAGCAUAUAAUCUGUCAUUGGAAAAUUAUUCGAAGAAUAUUUGCAAAUGAUAAAA